AUACCUUUCUCGGCCUUUUGGCUAAGAUCAAGUGUAGUAUCUGUUCUUAUCAGUUUAAUAUCUGAUACGUGGACCAUUGGUUCACAUGAUAUUAAAUUAGUUUUUAUAAUGGGGAGGAUCUGUCACAGUAGCUUGCUAUUGGGAUUCUCAAGUGUCGCCCCUGUACUGCACUACUGCAAGGGCAUGGCGCACCCUAC